rnacentral:misc_RNA from 1 species
GUGUGUCUAUUUAUUCAACUUUACGGGAACUCGGAAAAAUUACCUCUGAGCUCUGACAGCAUGGAGGCGAGAAUCGACAAAAGAUGCAGCUCAUUUGAGAUUCUUCAGGCUUCAGCCUCCUCUUGCUCAAACUGAGAACAAGAAUAAACUCCAACUGAAAAACCAACUGAGUCUCCAUUUAAGUUGCCAUAAAAAAUACUUCAGUAGGAUGAAAAUGCAA